rnacentral:rRNA from 1 species
GAUGAACGCUGGCGGCGUGCCUAAUACAUGCAAGUCGAGCGAACAGACGAGGAGCUUGCUCCUUCGACGUUAGCGGCGGACGGGUGAGUAACACGUAGGUAACCUACCUAUAAGACUGGGAUAACUUCGGGAAACCGGAGCUACUACCGGAUAAUAUUUCGAACCGCAUGGUUCGAUAGUGAAAGAUGGCUUUGCUAUCACUUAUAGCUGGACCUGCGCCGUAUUAGCUAGUUGGUAAGGUAACGGCUUACCAAGGCAACGAUACGUAGCCGACCUGAGAGGGUGAUCGGCCACACUGGAACUGAGACACGGUCCAGACUCCUACGGGAGGCAGCAGUAGGGAAUCUUCCGCAAUGGGCGAAAGCCUGACGGAGCAACGCCGCGUGAGUGAUGAAGGUCUUCGGAUCGUAAAACUCUGUUAUUAGGGAAGAACAAACGUGUAAGUAACUGUGCACGUCUUGACGGUACCUAAUCAGAAAGCCACGGCUAACUACGUG